GUUUGAGACUUUGUGGCUGUGGUAACUAGUGAUUACCGGGAAGACACUGACAGGAUUUUUAAAAUGGCGACGUCUUUAGGAGCUAACACUUACAAUAGACAAAAUUGGGAAGAUGCGGAUUUUCCCAUUCUCUGCCAGACAUGUCUUGGAGAGAAUCCUUAUAUUCGAAUGACCAAGGAGAAGUAUGGCAAGGAGUGCAAGAUAUGUGCCAGACCAUUCACUGUGUUCCGAUGGUGUCCUGGGACCCGCAUGCGCUUCAAGAAGACAGAGGCGUGCCAGACGUGCAGCAAGAUAAAGAAUGUGUGUCAGACCUGCCUGCUGGAUCUAGAGUAUGGCUUGCCAAUACAGGUCCGAGACACUGGUCUGUCAAUCAAGGACGACGUGCCAAAAUCAGAUGUGAACAAGGAAUACUACACACAGAACAUGGAAAGAGAGAUAGGGAACUCUGAUGGUACCCGGCCCGUGGGUCUCCUGGGUAAGGCCCCCAGCUCUAGUGACAUGCUGCUGAAGCUAGCCCGCACCACACCUUACUACAAGAGGAACAGACCACAUAUCUGCUCCUUCUGGGUGAAGGGAGAGUGUAAGAGAGGAGAGGAGUGUCCUUACAGGCAUGAGAAGCCAACUGAUCCAGACGAUCCCCUGGCAGACCAGAACAUUAAGGACCGUUACUAUGGUAUCAACGAUCCUGUGGCUGACAAGCUGCUGAAGAGAGCCUCCACCAUGCCGAGACUGGACACUCCAGAGGACAAGUCCAUCACUACACUGUACGUGGGGGGGCUCGGAGACUCCAUCACAGACUCUGAACUCAGGAACCAUUUCUACCAGUUUGGGGAGAUCCGAACCACCACCAUCGUUCAGAGGCAGCAGUGUGCCUUCAUCCAGUUUGCCACCCGUCAGGCUGCAGAGUUAGCUGCUGAGAAAUCCUUCAACAAGCUCAUUAUCAACGGUCGCAGACUCAACGUCAAAUGGGGCAGGUCCCAGGGAGAGGGGGGAAGGAGGGACGGGAGAGGGGGGAAGGACGGAAGGGGAGAAGGGCUGACUGAGAUGGGGCUGAAGCUGGAGCCGGUACCUGGACUGCCUGGAGCGCUACCUCCACCGCCUGUGGAUGAAGACACCCCUACCAACUACUUCAACCUGGGCCCCAACUCAGCUCCUCCUGUCAUGAACAUCAGUCUACCCCCACCCCCGGUGUGGCUAUGCCCCCUCCUCCAGGCUUUGGGCCACCCAUGUUCCACUCCAUGGACCCUAUGGGGAUGCCCCCUCCCAUGGGCAUGAGGCCCCCUGGCCAUGUCCACUACCCCUCCCAGGAUCCACAGCGCAUGGGUGCACACGCCAGCCGUCACGGAGGCUCCUAGACCCUCGUACCUCACUGUUUUAUGAUUAACAUCGUUAUAAUUUGACCAAUUUCGCCCUAUUAAUAACCGACACAGUGACUAUAGUCACAGUUCACAGAUGUGAAAUGCUUCUUUUAUAUACGUGUAAUGGAGAAGAACCUCUGUUUUGUGCAUCAGCAAGGUCUUGCUCGUUAGGAAACUGGAGUGCUGAACAGUAUAGUUUUAAAUGAUUCGUUAUACCUUCCUCCAUCGAACCUACAAGUAACUGCCAAAAUAAAGGAAACAUAAAGUGUCUUAAUAGGGUGUUGGGCCAAAACUGCUUCAAUGAGCCUUGGCAUAGAACUCUACAAGUGUCUGGAACUCUAUUGGAGGGAUGCGACACCCAUUCUUCCACAAUAAAUUAAUUUGGUGUUUUGUUGAUGGUGGUGGAAAACACUGUCUCAGACGCAUCAGAAUCUCCCGUAAGUGUUCAAUUGGGUUGAGACCUGGUGACUAAGACACACACAUUUUAAAUCACCUAUGCUCCUAUGAGACCCCUUUUUUUUCCCCCAAUGUCACUGAUCUCUUCUAACCAUGGUAGCCAAAAUAAUGGGCAACUGGUCAUUUUAUUGCUAAAUGAACUCAGGAACCACACCUGUGUGGAAACACCUGCUUUCAAUACACUUUGUAUCCCUCAUUUUGAAAAGUGUUUCCUUUAUUUUGGCAGUUACCUGUAUGUUCUAUCUCUGGCUUGUAUAUUUGAAAGGGGGAGGAAGGGUUACGUUUGCAAAUUGUGCAUAUUGUACUGAACCUUUCUUAUAGAAGAGAAUGUCUCCAUUUCUACAAUUAUUUUUUCCCUUCUAACGCAUUUUAUGCAGAAUUGUCAGAUGUUUAACGGUCUUCAGAAAAACCAAUUGUUAAGACCAUUUGACUUCCAUGUGGUGGCACUAUUAUCUAAAGAAUGAAGGUGUCCAUGACUCCACAGCAUUGUCAACGUCUUUUAUUAUAACUGAAAAGUGGUUAACAUUUUUGCUUCAUUAAACAUAUCCUUUCUUUUAAAGUG